rnacentral:rRNA from 1 species
CCUACGGGCGGCAGCAGUGAGGAAUAUUGGUCAAUGGGCUUACGCCUGAACCAGCCAAGUCGCGUGAGGGAAGACUGCCCUAUGGGUUGUAAACCUCUUUUGUCAGGGAGCAACGCCGGCUACGUGUAGCCGGACUGAGAGUACCUGAAGAAAAAGCAUCGGCUAACUCCGUGCCAGCAGCCGCGGUAAUACGGAGGAUGCGAGGGUUAUUGGGAUUUAUUGGGUUUACGGGGUGCGUAGGCGGAAUGCCAAGUCAGCGGUAAAAUCGCGGGGCUCAACCUCGCUCCGCCGUUGAAACUGGCGUACUUGAGUGGGCGAGAGGUAUGCGGAAUGCGUGGUGUAGGAGUGAAAUGCAUAGAUAUCACGCAGAACACCGAUUGCGAAGGCAACAUACCGGCGCACAACUGACGCUGAGGCACGAAAGCGUGGGUAUCGAACAGGAUUAGAUACCCGAGUAGUC